AUACAUUACCAUUUUUCCAUAUUUUAGAAAGCCAUCGAGUCCCUGAUCGAAAAACAAUAUUUGGAACGAAAAGGAGGUAGCAAAGAUGAAUAUACGUACUUGGCGUAAAUUUAAAAGUUGAUAAAAUGGCCAAUUCGGCUGCAUAUGGUGCCGUGUGGAGAAAUGAAUUAUUCUUUGAUGUAACACUGAAUACUGAGAUAUAUGUCAACUUGGACGGUUUAUAAAAUUCAACAAUACAUUGUCAAGGUUGAAGCAGACCUUCCUUUAAAUUAAUUAACUUUUUAUAAUCUGUAACUUCUAUAAGUAUUUAUCAAUCUAAAUUUAGCAGUUUUUUCCUCAUUUUUCUACCUGAUAACUUUUUAAGAAGUUAGUAGUCCGCUCUUAUUGAAGGAAAACGUCAAGGUGUAUUUAAAACGCGGUGUCAAAGUGUCAUAAAAAGUAUAUAAAAAGUUGCAAAAAGUCAUCAAUGUUCCUCCGGGUAAAAUUUCAGAUUUUCAAUCCUUCCUCAAAAUAAUGUGGAUAAUCCUUUUCAA